rnacentral:rRNA from 1 species
GACGAACGCUGGCGGCGUGCUUAACACAUGCAAGUCGAACGGAAAGGCCCUGCUUUUGUGGGGUGCUCGAGUGGCGAACGGGUGAGUAACACGUGAGUAACCUGCCCUUGACUUUGGGAUAACUUCAGGAAACUGGGGCUAAUACCGUAUAGGAGCUCCUGCUGCAUGGUGGGGGUGGGAAAGUUUCGGCGGUUGGGGCUGGACUAGCGGCUUAUCAGCUAGUUGGUCGGGUAGUUGCUUGCCAAGGGAUUGACGGGUAGGCGGCCUGGGAGGGUGACCGGCCACAAUGGGACUGCGAUAGGGACCAGAGUCCUACGGGAGGCAGCGGUGGGGAAUAUUACACAAUGGGCGGAAGCCUGAUGCAGCAACGCCGCGUGCGGGAUGACCGCCUUCGGGUUGUAAACCGCUUUCGCCUGUGACGAAGCGUGAGUGACGGUAAUGAGUAAAGAAGCACCGGCUAACUACGUG